rnacentral:lncRNA from 1 species
CUCCGUAUUGAAGCUGUUAUUGCCGUGACAGGAAAAAGGGCCAGCACAGAAGUGUUCUUCCUGGCCCAGACAGAAAAGCAGAAGUGAGCCUCGCUUUGGGAAAUCUGGGCCCAAUUAGUCACAAGAGGCAGAAUGAGUCAUCGUUUAUCCAGAAGCUUCUUCCUUCGGGGCCCUGGAUUGAACUCAGGACCUUGCACUUGCGAGGCGGGUGCUGUGCCACUGAGCUAAAUCCCCAGCCCAAAGAGGUCAUAAUGAGCUCACUAGGGUCAUGAAAACUCACUCACUCCUAGAGUGAGUGAAGCCAAAGACAAAUCCAAAAGACCUGUGGAUGUCGUGGAAAUUUGAGAUCUCGUUUGCCUUGUCCUCUUCCCAAUCCUUUGAGGGGCAGCUUGGAGAGAAUUUUGAACUCACAGAAAUCCUGCAGCUCUGAGCUGAUUUUCAUGGUGGGAUGUUUUAUGCAGCAUUAAUCUUGUGUCCG